rnacentral:lncRNA from 1 species
UCCUUCCUUCCACUACUCUUAGAACUGGUGGAAGCGUCUCUAUCAGAACAAAUGGAAGCCAAGUGAAUUCAAAUGCAACCCUCAAUGCUCCAGGUUAAUUUCAUAUUCAUGUCGACGCAUCGAGUCUCUUUCAAAAGUUUCAACUUGUAUCUCACGCUUUUUUGUAAUGUUUUUUGUUUUCUGUCAUAAGAGCAGGCAACCAACAUCUUGAGUGCAAGGGGAGAGGAUCGAUUUGUUGGUGAGGCUUGAUUUGUUAAAGUUGGUAAGCGAGAUAUCUGGUCUGAUACAGAAAGCCUUACCUGAAAUUUUGAAGCGAGAUAUCUUGAGUGCAAGGGGGAGAGGAUUGAGUACAAGAUCUGAUAUUUGCCCCCAUAUUCAUGCUCUGAUAUUUGCUAUUGAUUUACAGAUAUAAUAUUAGGCGUAUUCGAGAAUAUUCAAGAUCUGAGAGGAUUGAGUACACGGUCUCAAUAUCUGAUAUUUGAUCCAUUCUUCUUCCGCUAGUUCAACUAGCGGAUAUAUAAAUUUGAUUGGCUGGUAUUGGCUUGAUAUGGGGGCAAUUUGAAAAGUUUUUGAAUGGUGUCCGCU